rnacentral:rRNA from 1 species
CCUACGGGUGGCUGCAGUGGGGAAUAUUGGGCAAUGGGCGCAAGCCUGACCCAGCAACGCCGCGUGAAGGAAGAAGGCUUUCGGGUUGUAAACUUCUUUUCUCAGGGACGAAGAAAGUGCCGGUACCUGAGGAAUAAGCCACGGCUAACUACGUGCCAGCAGGCGCGGUAAUACGUCGGUGGCAAGCGUUAUCAGGAUUUAUUGGGUGUAAAGGGCGUUUAGGCGGGAGCGCCAGUCAGAUGUGAAAACUCAGGGCUCAACCCUGAGCCUGCCUUUGAAACUGUGUUUCUUGAGUGCUGGAGAGGCAAGCGGAAUGCGGGGUGUAGCGGUGAAAUGCGUAGAUAUCAGGAGGAACACCAGUGGCGAAGGCGGAUUGCUGGACAGUAACUGACGCUGAGGCGCGAAAGCGUGGGGAGCAAACAGGAUUAGAUACCCCUGUAGUC